AUUGAACGCUGGCGGCAUGCCUUACACAUGCAAGUCGAACGGCAGCACGGGUGCUUGCACCUGGUGGCGAGUGGCGAAACGGGUGAGUAAUAUAUCGGAACGUACCUUAUUGUGGGGGAUAACGCAGCGAAAGCUGUGCUAAUACCGCAUAAUCCCUCAGGGGGAAAGCGGGGGACCGUAAGGCCUCGCGCAAUUAGAGCGGCCGAUACCUGAUUAGCUAGUUGGUGAGGUAAAGGCUCACCAAGGCAACGAUCAGUAGCUGGUCUGAGAGGACGAUCAGCCACACUGGGACUGAGACACGGCCCAGACUCCUACGGGAGGCAGCAGUGGGGAAUUUUGGACAAUGGGGGCAACCCUGAUCCAGCAAUGCCGCGUGAGUGAAGAAGGCCUUCGGGUUGUAAAGCUCUUUUGUCAGGGAAGAAACAGCAGCUCUAACACAGUUUGCGAAUGACGGUACCUGAAGAAUAAGCACCGGCUAACUACGUGCCAGCCGCCGCUGUAA
rnacentral:rRNA from 1 species